AGAACGAACGCUGGCGGCAGGCUUAACACAUGCAAGUCGAGCGCCCCGCAAGGGGAGCGGCAGACGGGUGAGUAACGCGUGGGAACGUACCCCCCGGUUCGGAAUAACUCAGGGAAACUUGAGCUAAUACCGGAUACGGCUGGAAGGCGAAAGAUUCAUCGCCGGGGGAUCGGCCCGCGUCCGAUUAGCUAGUUGGUGUGGUAACGGCGCACCAAGGCGACGAUCGGUAGCUGGUCUGAGAGGAUGAUCAGCCACAUUGGGACUGAGACACGGCCCAAACUCCUACGGGAGGCAGCAGUGGGGAAUAUUGGACAAUGGGCGCAAGCCUGAUCCAGCCAUGCCGCGUGAGUGAUGAAGGCCUUAGGGUUGUAAAGCUCUUUCACCACGACGAUAAUGACGGUAGUGGGAGAAGAAGCCCCGGCUAACUUCGCGCCAGCAGCCGC
rnacentral:rRNA from 1 species